rnacentral:rRNA from 1 species
AGAGUUUGAUCCUGGCUCAGGAUGAACGCUGGCGGCGUGCCUAAUACAUGCAAGUCGAGCGAACGGACGAGAAGCUUGCUUCUCUGAUGUUAGCGGCGGACGGGUGAGUAACACGUGGAUAACCUACCUAUAAGACUGGGAUAACUUCGGGAAACCGGAGCUAAUACCGGAUAAUAUUUUGAACCGCAUGGUUCAAAAGUGAAAGACGGUCUUGCUGUCACUUAUAGAUGGAUCCGCGCUGCAUUAGCUAGUUGGUAAGGUAACGGCUUACUAAGGCAACGAUGCAUAGCCGACCUGAGAGGGUGAUCGGCCACACUGGAACUGAGACACGGUCCAGACUCCUACGGGAGGCAGCAGUAGGGAAUCUUCCGCAAUGGGCGAAAGCCUGACGGAGCAACGCCGCGUGAGUGAUGAAGGUCUUCGGAUCGUAAAACUCUGUUAUUAGGGAAGAACAUAUGUGUAAGUAACUGUGCACAUCUUGACGGUACCUAAUCAGAAAGCCACGGCUAACUACGUGCCAGCAGCCGCGGUAAUACGUAGGUGGCAAGCGUUAUCCGGAAUUAUUGGGCGUAAAGCGCGCGUAGGCGGUUUUUUAAGUCUGAUGUGAAAGCCCACGGCUCAACCGUGGAGGGUCAUUGGAAACUGGAAAACUUGAGUGCAGAAGAGGAAAGUGGAAUUCCAUGUGUAGCGGUGAAAUGCGCAGAGAUAUGGAGGAACACCAGUGGCGAAGGCGACUUUCUGGUCUGUAACUGACGCUGAUGUGCGAAAGCGUGGGGAUCAAACAGGAUUAGAUACCCUGGUAGUCCACGCCGUAAACGAUGAGUGCUAAGUGUUAGGGGGUUUCCGCCCCUUAGUGCUGCAGCUAACGCAUUAAGCACUCCGCCUGGGGAGUACGACCGCAAGGUUGAAACUCAAAGGAAUUGACGGGGACCCGCACAAGCGGUGGAGCAUGUGGUUUAAUUCGAAGCAACGCGAAGAACCUUACCAAAUCUUGACAUCCUUUGACAACUCUAGAGAUAGAGC